rnacentral:rRNA from 1 species
UACGGGGGGAGCAAGCGUUGUUCGGAUUUACUGGGCGUAAAGGGCGCGUAGGCGGCCAGCACAAGUCAGUUGUGAAAUCUCCGAGCUUAACUCGGAAAGGUCAACUGAUACUGUGCGGCUAGAGUGCGGAAGGGGCAACUGGAAUUCUUGGUGUAGCGGUGAGAUGCGUAGAUAUCAAGAGGAACACCUGCGGCGAAGGCGGGUUGCUGGGCCGACACUGACGCUGAGGCGCGAAAGCCAGGGGAGCGAACGGG